CCCAAAGUUGUGGGUUUUAGUCCCAAAAUAUUCAUUAUUUUUUUCUUCUCCUUCUUCAUGAUUUGAGAGCCAAGGGUUGAAACCCAACUCUCUUAUUCUUCUACUUCAUUUUGGCCGAGGGUUUAAAGUCCCUCAUUUGAUUUCUACUUUUUUUUUUUGUCAGGUUUGAAAACAUAGACCCAUAUAUAUUUCAAAAGCCUUACCCCCUUUUAUAUUGAUCUUUAAGUCUCAUCCCAAUUCCCAAAGAAGCACUAGCUGCUGGCAAGUUAGCUUCUCGGAGAUCGCCGUUAGAAAUGGCACGGUGUCAGUGCGUGGCGCCUCCUCUAGCCACUGUUUGCAACUAGAUCUUCUCCCAACACCAUUGCUGGACUCUUGCGAAUCUUACCAGUCAGUCACUAUCAGUAGAUCCCUUAGAGACAAGCCGCAUGGAUCUUCUGGGAAGAGCUUCUCCAGUUGAAUGCUUCAUGC
rnacentral:misc_RNA from 1 species